CGCGCAGGUGGUUGAUUAAGUCUGAUGUGAAAGCCCACGGCUUAACCGUGGAGGGUCAUUGGAAACUGGUCGACUUGAGUGCAGAAGAGGGAAGUGGAAUUCCAUGUGUAGCGGUGAAAUGCGUAGAGAUAUGGAGGAACACCAGUGGCGAAGGCGGCUUCCUGGUCUGUAACUGACACUGAGGCGCGAAAGCGUGGGGAGCAAAACA
rnacentral:rRNA from 1 species